GGGGCUGAAAUAGAUUCGACAGGGCGCAGAAAACAUAUAACUUCGCAGGAAUGUAACAUCCUUAAAGUACAUCUUAAAAAUAAACGACACUACUGUUGUUACGCUUCAUCCCGCGCUUUUAGCAGUUCUCGGUCAGAGAGCCGUAGCGUGAGAUUCCGAUAAGCACCUGCUAUUCGGUCUAACUUAUCGGACGGAAAUAGAAUAGCAAACAACGGUUUCUUGCCUCCGUAAAAGGUAAGUGUUGGAGUGGGUGUAAUUCCUUACAUCUCCAUUCGUUUCCCGCGAAUUAAAACAAUGUUGUGGUUUGCAGAUUGCCACGGAGCAAAAUCGGCUAUUGCGUGAAAAGAGUUAGUGUGGGUAUGUGUUUUGGACACGGGUUCGAUUCCCGUCAGUUCCACCA
rnacentral:tmRNA from 1 species